AAUGUUUUAUUGUGUUCCUCGUAUGAUGAAACGCUUAUAAAGAUCAGAAUUCCUAUAUGGAAACACUCUGUGGUACACCAAGUUACCUCGCUACCAAAAUGUUAAUCCCGUAGCCUGAAGAACGAUCCUACAAGAAAUCGUGUGACUGCUGGAGCCUGGGAGUUAUACUAUAUGUUUGCAGGCAAAUAACCCAUUGGAGAAACAAGUCAAA